GGACUGUGGCCGAGGGAAGCGGAUGCCUGGGCAGAGGUGAGACAGCACAAAGUGUGGAGCUCAGGCAGAAGGAGCUCAGCCGUGGCGCAGACUCGGGGACCCAGGCCAGGGACCGCCGGGCCCAGGGCAGUCGGGCGGCCUAGGGACGCUGGAGCGCGGCCUGGGGCACAGAGCACCCGGAAGGUGGAGCGGGCGCGCCACGACCAGCAGAGGGCGGGCGGAGGCGACUGCGCCCGGCCGCGUCCGAAGAGGCCUGCGGGCCUAGAGAGCUCGGAGGUGCCCGGGCCCACAGCUCCCCAGGCUCCCCGCGGACAGAGGGACCGGGUCCCCGGGGCAGGCCAGAAGGCCAGGGAGGAGAGGGGCAGGCACUGGAAGAAGCGCCACAAACGCGCAGCAGCUGCUUAGUGUUCAUCGGGGGAGCCAGGGUGCGCGUGCGGGCGCAGCCUCGUACCGGUGGGUCAGACAGCAGACGAGCCCCGGGCGCGGGGAAUCCGGGUCCCUGAGAACGCGCCGCGCUUUCCCGCCUCUCGGCCCCGCCUCCCCCCUGCAGUGCGCAGGCGCGUCGGGCUGAGGCUGCCGCGCCGCCUUCCCGGCCGCCGUCGUCUCAGGGUGCGCUCUAUCCCCUACCAGCGCUCCCCAUCCUCGCCCCUCUCCACAUUUUGCCUGCGGGACAAUGGAUCUCCAGUCUUCGUGUUCCACCUUUAGGGCUCUUAGUGACUGCUCCUGUCCUUGGCCCUGGGUCUGUGUCUGCACCACUCCACCUGGCCCGAGCCCUUGAGGUAGGCCACGUACUCGGAUGGCAUUCAUCAGGGAGCUAGAGUACAAACUGUUUGGAAGUAAUCCUGCCUCGCACAGCAUAUGAAUUCUUAAUACCCAGGAGAAUUUCGAAAUUACCUAGUUGAUUCCAUUCUUGCGGGUGUUAAUGCAAAUUUGUAUCUGGUUUAUGAGUCCAAAUUCAACUCCUGUAAUCCCAGCACUCGCUGCAUAGUGAGACCCUGUCUCAAAAAGACAAAACAAAACCAAAAAUACCCCACAAAUUCAAUGGCAAUGAAUGUAUGUUGCCAGAAUCAAACUGAAAAUGAAAAAAGCAGAAAUAACAAGUUUUUGCAAAUCUAACUUGUGUUUUCUUAUUGUUAAAUAUGUAAUUUAAAUAGAUUAUGUUACAUUAAAAUAUAUAUGUAUUAAUUAACUAACAUGUCUAGGGAAGAAUUACAUUCAAGAUAAAGCUCUGUGUACUACUGCAGUAUUAACUUAAAAUAUCACUUUCCUUACGUAAUCCUAUGAUAUUUUAAGUCUGUUUUAUUAAUCUGUAAUAGACUCAUUAAAUUCCAAACAUUUCACUUCUACACACAUGAAAAACAGAUUCCCUGCAACAGAAAUAGCAGUGUAACUGCUAAUGCAAACACUGUAAAUUUCACCAGAAAUUAAUAAGGCAAAAAGAAAGUUACUGUGUAUGCUUUGGUAGCCUGUAACCCACAUAAGGACUUAAAUUUCACCAAAGGGACGUGGAUGAACAAUAUCAAUACCCAUCUGUGAUAUACAAGAAAACAAAAUAUCUUGCCAAGUGUGGUGGUGCAUGCCUGCAAUUCCAGGAUUCAGAAGGCUGAGGCAGAAAUAUCAAGAAUUUGAAGCCAGCCUGGGUUAUGUAGAAAGUUCAACGCAGACCAGGACUAUAAAACAAGAACCUAUUUCAAAAAUAAAUACAAAAACAAUAGAAAACAAAAUAUCUUGAAAUAGCUAUGUCACAAGAAAUUAAGUAUCUUUAAUGGAUAUUUAAUUACAUAUGGAAAUUACAAGCUACAGUAUGAAAUUAACAAGGACAAGCAGCUUUUCAAAUUCUCCUGUAAGUCUUUAGAAUAUUCAGCUUUCAUCUAUCACCAUUGUUGCUACGUAAUCCUUGUAAUGAAUUAAAUUUGAUUCUGGAUCAAUUGCAGCUGACAGCAUUUCUUCCAUUUCCUCUUGAGAAAAAGGCUCACCUGGGAGAGACAAGACGGUAAAUCCAUCAUUCACAGUAGUCUGACUUUGUCUUUCUUUUUUCACUAGCCAGCUUAAUGGCCAUGGGACUCCCUAUCUCUUCCCGGUGCUGCAGGGCCAGCCCUCAGAAAGCAUGCUGCUGGAUACCUUGGCAGGCUGUGGGCUCACCUUCCCCUUAUGCCUUAUAGACCAAGCAACUGUGGAAUCCAUUACCAGAGUCACAUCUCAUAGACACAGGUUUUACUGAUUUAAGUUAAAAUGACUCAAGUUGCAAAGGAUUGGCCUGAAGCCUCAGUCUUACAGGGAUGUUGGUUAUUAUGUGUAGUCAGAGUAUAAAGAGACAUUCGAUGUUUGCUCUGCAAAAUUACUGAAGAGCAGAUAAAAAGUCCUGAGACUGUAACAACUCUGUCUGGGAAUAUUUCCUAACCCGUCUGAGCCAGGUCAGUGAUGCCCACUGACCCUAGCAAAAGAUACAAUUCAUCAACCAUUUCCAAAGUCCUCCUUUUAAGAGUUCAGUCCAAAGUUGAAGUAGCGGAGAAAACCUGUGGGUUUAAUUGGAUUCAAGUAACAGCUGAGAGCUGUCUUGGAAAUGGGUUUCACCAAGAGGAAAAGCCAACUCAGGAAGAAAGUUGAAAAGAAUAAGAUGUUAGGACACAGUUCUGUCCUAACAUUAAAUACAGAACAUGUAAAUCACUGCCUUUGGCUCUGGAGGGAGAGUUUUACCCAAGCAGCUAAGUCACCAACGUCUGAGGUCUGCUUACUCCAUGAGCCUAAGUCACCUACCACUACAAGCAGUGCUUCCCUGGUUGGGAGUCACUUACUAAUACUGAAAUUAUUCAGUAUGGAUUUGAUGACAGUGAAGGUAGUACCGUGAAACAAGAGAAAUGUGCUCCAGAGUGCUUUGGAAAUCAUGCCUACAUCCUCAUGAAGGGAAGAAAGGCUGAAUUGCUAAAAAUGACAAAUUCCUAUUCAUCUUUAAACCCGAUGAUGACACACAAAAUCUACUGCUAAAUGAACUCUAAUGUAAGCUGUUAAAAGAAUAUUAAGUAACCAACAUUCAGGGAGCAAUAUUGUGUGCCGGGCAUUGAUCUAAGCACGUCACAUACACUGAGUUAAUCAGUGUCCUAACACAGCUGAGAGGUAAGAACUUGUGUCACCGAUGGUAGAGGAAACUGCGCAACUGGCCCCAGCAAAGGGGUGAGGGUUGCUGGAUCUGAAGGGCAGGAGUCCAGCUCAUCAUCCACCAGCUAAACCACCACAGCCGCCACUUAGAACAACGCCCAGCUCCUGGUAAAGGAGAAACACAGUGUUUGAUUUUAAGGGACGCCUGGGUUCCAAUGCUGGCUCUAACUAUCCUUAAGGUCUUGGCCAAGCUGCUUAACCAAGGCCAAGCUUGGUGCCUCAGUUUCCCCAUCUAUAAAUGGAUGUGACAAUACUCUCUACCCAUUGGAUUGCUACAACCAUUAAAUGUGCAAUUAUUUGAUUAUCACUUAGAACUGCUUCUGACACAUCGGCAGCAACAUGUAAGUAUUUAUUUGGAAAAUGCUUCUGAACUUUCUCCUACCACUAAACAAUGCAAUACAAAUUCCUAGACGUGUAGAUUUUUAAUCUCGUAGGAAUUAAAUUCAUUGUGACUUAUGAUAUUUAUCAUAUGACCUCCUGGGCACUUAGAGCAUAUAUUCUCAAACUUAUCAAUAUAUUUGAUUCUCUGUGAAUAUUGUAGAAAGUUGUACAAGUAACUUUAUGUUAUUAAGCUUAAAAGUACUUAAAAACAGUUUAGAAAAUUGAGUAUCUCCAGCUACCAGCUACGCAGAUAUUUUAGUAGGCUAGUCAGCUGUUAUGAGAGUUAGAUGGCAAGUCUUUUAUACUUAAUAAUAACACCUUAUAUGUGUAUAAUACUUUGCAUCUCAUAUAUCACCAUUAGCUCAUAUGGAAAAGAUAGAUAGAUUAGAAGAUCCAGAAAUAACUGCAGACACACCUUGACAAAGGUGCCAAACACAUUCACUGGAAGAAAAGUAGUCUCUUUAAUAAAAUAAUGUUGGGAAAACUGGCUUCCCAUAUUCUGAAGAUUAAAACUGGACCCAUAUCUUUCACCAUGUACUAAGCUAAAAUCAGAAUAGAUUAAAGAUCUUACUAUUAAAACAGAAACAUUAAAUCUGCUGGAAGAUAGAAUAGGUAAAACUCUUGAAGACAUUGGUGUAGGCAAAGACUUUAUGAGUAAAACCCAGAUUGCACAGGACUUACUACAAGGAAUCAACAACUGGGAUCUCAUCCUAUUGAAAACCUUUUGCACUGCAUGAGAAACCACCAACAUAGUGAAGAGAUAACCCACAGUAUGGGAGAAAAUGUUUGCCACCUGUUUCUCAGAUAAAGGGUUACUAUCGAGAACAUAAAAAGAACUAAAAAAAAAAAAAAAUCAGUCCUCCCAGAUUUAAAGACCCAAUCCAAAAAUCUGCAACUGAGAUGAACACACAUUUCUCAGAUGAAGAAGUACAAAUAGCAAAAAAUACGUGAAGAAAUGUUCAGCAGCACUGGUCAUUUGAGAGAUGCAAAUUAAAACAACACUGAGAUUCCACCUUACACUAGAAAGAAUGGCUAGUAAUAAGAAAUCAACCAAUAACAAAUGCUGGAGGGGCUGUGGGGGAAAAGGAUCCCUUCUGCAUUGUUGGUAGGAAUGCAGAAUGUUGCAACCACUGUGGAAAUCACUAUGGAGAUUCCUCAAAAAGCUAGGACUAGAGGACCCAUUUGACCCAGCUAUUCCCCUUCUGGGAUAUCUUCCCAAAAGAAUGAAAAACAUCAUACCACAGCCAUGCAUGUACACCCAUGCUCAUAGCAGCACAGUUUAUAAUAGCCAGAUCUUGGAAACAAUCUAUAUGCCUAUCAACUGAGGAAUGAAUAAAAAAGAUGUGGUAUUUCUAUACAAUGGAAUACUACUCAGCCAUAAAGAGUGAUAAACUGCACAUUUUAUAGGCAAAUGGAUACACCUUGAGAACACACUUAUUAGUGAAAUAAAUAUAUCAUGCAUGUAUAGAACAUCAUAUUGUUUCAUUAGUGUGAAAAGCUAAAAGAAAAAACAUGUAUUUUGUCCAGACAGAAUGACUUCAGCCAGAGCAAUGAUUCAGGCCACACCUGUCUUUAACCCUCUGUGAACUGUUUUGAGGUGACUUUUGGACGUCUUGAGAAAUUUUUGAUGUGCUGUAAGGUUUGGGUUUUUGCAUGUGGCUAUCUAGUUGUUCAGUAUAUUUAUUAAAGAUACAAUCCUUCUCCACUUAAUUGCUUUUGCAUCUUUUCUAGAUAUCAAUGGUCUGUUACAUGGGUAUCUAUCUUGGGACUUCAUAUUGUUACUCUAGAGGUCUAUCUUGAUAUCAACACCAUUUUGUCAUGAUUGGUGUAACUGUGAUAAGUCAUGGGAUUGGGGAGGGUUAGAGUUUUAAUUUUGUUCCUUUAUCAAAGUUGCUUAGACUACUCUGAGUCUUUGUAUUUUACAGAAAUGUAAGAAUCAAAAUGUUCAUUUUUAUUAAAAAUGAUGUUGGCAUUUUGAUAAGGGAUUGUGUUUUCUGAUCUUUAUUAUUUUCCUCUUUCGUUUCUGGUCUUAUUCUGUCUUUUAUGUUUAAUUUCUUAAGGAAAAAUAUGAGGUUAUCCCAUAACUUUUUUCUUUUCUAAUAAAUGUACUUGGUGUUAAAAAAAAGAUACUAUUAAAUUGCCACAUUUUAUUUCCAAAACAAAGUUAGAUGGCAGAUCUUUUAUAUUUAAUAACACCUUACAUUUGUAUAAUACUUUAUAUCUCUCCUAUGUCACCAUCAAACAUUAGCUCAUAUGGGAAAGGCACUGAAUAAUAUUUGUUGAAUGAAAAACCAAAGCACAUAUUUGAAAUCAAUUUUUUUUCUUUGCUUGGUUUGUUAAAAUAACUAAUCAUUGACCCUUAAAUACUUUAACUCUCUGUCAGCUUGCCUUUUGGAAAUUCCUAUGUCAUACAGCACCUCCAAGUAAAUCACACACUGGCACCGUGCACGGUUUCUGUAUGCUGCGCGACCUCCUGGAUUCCCUGCUGCAGCCGCCCGCGUUACCACAACGCCCACAAUCCAUCCGGGCUGUCGAGCCGGGCAAUUAUUUUUGACUCUGCCGCAGCACUGUCCGCUGCCCGCUGUUACUCCUCCUAACUCAGGGAUCAGGGAUCCUGCGGCCAGAGCCCCACUGUAGGAUCCCUUCUUCCCCUGCACUGCCAGGCCAGGCCCUGAGGUGCCUGCAGGAGGCUGAGCUGGCCUCUGACUGCUCCCCGCAGCCUAACAAACCUGCGGGCACCUGAACAACUUUCCCACAAUCGCUCCCGCGCCGUGUGACUCAUCUCCUCACAGCCCUGUAAUGCUCCAUCGCCCAAGGACAGUCCCAGCUCCCGGGCCAGGCCUCCGCAGCCUGCUCCCAGAAAGCUAUCUCGGUUAACACCCUCCUGCAGGCCAGCAAGACCACGAGCCCUGUGCAUCCCACCCGCCACCUGUGUCCACGCCGCGGCACCCCUUGUGCGGCUCCCCAGCCCAUUCUCCCCGCGUUUCCACAGCUGCCGGCUCCUCCACUCACAGCUAAUUUGCCACAACAAUCUGAUGAGACCGACAGUGUGUGAGGGGACUGGGAGGCAGAAGAUUUUACCCCUGCUCUCAACAACUCACCCAACAAAUUCUACCUUCUUUAGUUUUGUUGGAACCUAUUUUUUGUUAGAUUUUCAAGCUGCUCCACCCUGCAUUGAUCUUCUGAUAUUUACUUUUCUACGGUCUUAAAUUGUGAUUUGUCUAAUCAAUUAGUUUUGUUCUCCCAAUAAGAUUGUAACAUCCCUGGGAGAGGGAGCGAUGUCAUGUUGCUGCCCCAACACACAAAACAGGCACACGGCAGUCAUUAAGCUGAACUCUUUUGGCCAUUUUGACUACAUUCGCGGUGCUAACGUAGUACUUCCUUUAAUCCUUAUGAUUAAAAGGGGAACGCUUUGAAAGUGGUAACAUUCCCACCACAGUUAAUCCCUGGGAUGACAUAAACAUGCCCUGGGAGCUCCUGGGUGGCUGCCACAAUUGCUGUGUUGUUCUUACCCUCAUUUCUUGUUCUUCUACCUAAUGGUGGGUCUAGCAAAAAUUGUCAAACCAGUUGUGCAUGUAGAUGUCUUAUUCUGAUCCUGUCUCAAGUGACUCAGAAUCACCCAAGAUUCAGUCUCCGAAGCAAUGGAUUGAGCAAAGAAGACACAACUCUUAACUGACUAUAGGAGGGGAAGAGGGAGCCCAUACAAGAAUGGUUCCUCGAGGCUGUUCCCAGGCAAAUGGAUUUACAUGCUGGCUGAAGUUGGGGAAAAUCCUAAUGGGAAUCAUGUUGACAUAUGUGUGUAUGCAUCAGUGUAUGUUCAAAGAAAAUAUAAAUGUUUCCAUUAGCAUAAAAUAUGAAAUGUUGGUGCAAGUUCAUAUUCAGUUGAGGCUGUAUUAUUAUUAUCAAACUCUUUUGAAAGAAAUUUUGCGUAUACUCCAAUUAAAAUCUUUGAUCUAAUAAAGGCAUUGAUUUAUA